CACAUAUGUGAAGAGUGGCGAACGGGUGAGUAAUACAUAAGUAACCUGGCCUUUACAGGGGGAUAACUAUUGGAAACGAUAGCUAAGACCGCAUAGGUGUGAUAACCGCAUGGAGAUGACAUGAAAUAUGCUACGGCAUAGGUAGAGGAUGGACUUAUGGCGCAUUAGCUAGUUGGAGGGGUAACGGCCCACCAAGGCGACGAUGCGUAGCCGACCUGAGAGGGUGACCGGCCACACUGGGACUGAGACACGGCCCAGACUCCUACGGGAGGCAGCAGUAGGGAAUUUUCGGCAAUGGGGGAAACCCUGACCGAGCAACGCCGCGUGAAGGAAGAAGUAAUUCGUUAUGUAAACUUCUGUCAUAGAGGAAGAACGGUGCGUGUAGGGAAUGACAUGCAAGUGACGGUACUCUAUAAGAAAGCCACGGCUAACUACGUGCCAGCAGCCGCGGUAUACGUAGGUGGCGAGCGUUAUCCGGAAUUAUUGGGCGUAAAGAGGGAGCAGGCGGCACUAAGGGUCUGUGGUGAAAGAUCGAAGCUUAACUUCGGUAAGCCAUGGAAACCGUAGAGCUAGAGUGUGUGAGAGGAUCGUGGAAUUCCAUGUGUAGCGGUGAAAUGCGUAGAUAUAUGGAGGAACACCAGUGGCGAAGGCGACGAUCUGGCGCAUAACUGACGCUCAGUCCCGAAAGCGUGGGGAGCAAAUAGGAUUAGAUACCCUAGUAGUCCACGCCGUAAACGAUGAGUACUAAGUGUUGGGAGUCAAAUCUCAGUGCUGCAGUUAACGCAAUAAGUACUCCGCCUGAGUAGUACGUUCGCAAGAAUGAAACUCAAAGGAAUUGACGGGGGCCCGCACAAGCGGUGGAGCAUGUGGUUUAAUUCGAAGCAACGCGAAGAACCUUACCAGGUCUUGACAUCGAUCUAAAGGCUCCAGAGAUGGAGAGAUAGCUAUAGAGAAGACAGGUGGUGCAUGGUUGUCGUCAGCUCGUGUCGUGAGAUGUUGGGCUAAGUCCCGCAACGAGCGCAACCCCUGUUGCCAGUUGCCAGCAUUAAGUUGGGGACUCUGGCGAGACUGCCGGUGACAAGCCGGAGGAAGGCGGGGAUGACGUCAAAUCAUCAUGCCCCUUAUGACCUGGGCUACACACGUGCUACAAUGGACAGAGCAGAGGGAAGCGAAGCCGCGAGGUGGAGCGAAACCCAGAAAACUGUUCUCAGUUCGGACUGCAGUCUGCAACUCGACUGCACGGAGUUGGAAUCGCUAGUAAUCGCGAAUCAGCAUGUCGCGGUGAAUACGUUCUCGGGCCUUGUACACACCGCCCGUCACACCAUGAGAGUCGGUAACACCCGAAGCCGGUGGCCUAACCGCAAGGAAGGAGCUGUCUAAGGUGGGACUGAUGAUUGGGGUGAAGUCGGAACAAGGUA
rnacentral:rRNA from 1 species